CCCGGAUGUGAGUGACGGCCCCGGAUGAGGAACUCGGAUGAGGAACUCGGAGGAGGAGCUGGGCCCGCGCGUCCAUGAUUCGAAGGCUCGUUUUCGCAGCUUUUCCACGUCUUUUUCCGGUCCCACUGCCCUCCAUGCUAACUCACUGGGCGUCUCUAGCCGUUAUACCAACAAUGACUACGACCAGUGUUGGGAAAGCGCCCCCGGGGCCCCUCCCUGACGCCAGCCCAUCCUUGAGACUCCCUGCAAGGAGGCGGCCCGACCCAGUGGGAUAGCAAAACCUGAUCUCAUAAAACCUAGGUCACAAAGGACAGCCCUGCAAAACAGACCCUAUUUGGAUCAAGUGAACCAGUUCCUGGAACCUGAAUAAUGACUCCUGAAUCAAGGGAUACUACAGAUUUGUCUCCAGGGGGUACCCAGGAGAUGGAAGGCAUCGUGAUAGUGAAGGUGGAGGAGGAAGAUGAAGAAGACCAUUUUCAAAAGGAAAGAAACAAAGUAGAGUCAUCGCCACAAGUUCUCAGUCGCUCUACAACUAUGAAUGAGAGAGCCUUAUUAUCAUCGUAUUUAGUUGCAUAUAGAGUGGCAAAAGAGAAAAUGGCUCACACAGCGGCUGAAAAAAUUAUCCUUCCAGCAUGUAUGGACAUGGUACGGACAAUUUUUGAUGACAAAUCAGCUGAUAAACUAAGAACUAUACCUCUUAGUGAUAAUACAAUAUCUCGUCGAAUCUGUACGAUUGCAAAACAUUUGGAAGCAAUGCUUAUUACACGGCUGCAGUCCGGUAUAGACUUUGCAAUCCAACUCGAUGAGAGCACUGAUAUUGCAAGUUGUCCCACACUGUUGGUUUAUGUCAGAUAUGUGUGGCAAGAUGAUUUUGUAGAGGAUCUCUUAUGUUGUUUAAAUUUAAAUUCACAUAUAACUGGAUUAGAUUUAUUUACUGAAUUAGAAAACUGCCUUGUUGGUCAGUAUAAAUUAAACUGGAAACAUUGUAAAGGAAUUUCAAGUGAUGGAACAGCAAAUAUGACCGGAAAACACAGCAGACUUACUGAAAAAUUGUUAGAAGCAACCCUCAACAAUGCUGUUUGGAAUCACUGUUUUAUUCAUCGAGAAGCUUUGGUAUCCAAAGAAAUUUCACCAAGUCUAAUGGAUGUAUUGAAAAAUGCAGUGAAAAUUGUUAAUUUUAUUAAAGGAAGCUCACUGAAUAGCCGACUUCUCGAAAUAUUUUGUUCAGAGAUUGGAGUGAACCACAC
rnacentral:lncRNA from 1 species